rnacentral:rRNA from 1 species
AGAUAAUUUGAAGCAGCGGGUGACAUUCCACGAGAAUGGGACCGUCGAUAUGUGGGAGCAAAGACCACAGGCUCCCUGGUGUAAGUCGUGUCGGCCACGACAGCCACACCCAGACAGGGAUAGAGCCAUGGAGCUUGUAUUUUGUACGACACCGCCUCUAUCAUUGAAAUUUUGCCGCCAAUUCUAAAAAAAAAUACCGGCAAAGACAUAAAAAUCAACCAUAGAUUAAGAAAAACUAAACUCUAAGCGUUGAUGUGUAGUUUCCCAACCUCUAGAAGGCCGAAAAGACGACUGAAGGCCAGGAGGACCAGCAAAAGUCACGAACCCAAGUCGUCGGCGGCUAGGGCUUUUCUACGUACGACGGUUUUUAGUCCCACAUUCAGACCACAAAAGAUAAUCAAACGGUCCAGCUAAAAAGAAAAAUCAAAUGGUUGGGGCCCACCGUCGCCGUAGCCUAUCCGCCACUUAAUAAAUGACCCCUGCACCCCUCCUCAAUUCCGUCCAACAAACCUCUUUCCCCUCCCCGCAUCCCAAGCCUCCCAGCUCCAUCGCCACACGCUCGAACCCACUCCUCUCACGCUCAAGCGCACACCGCACCAACCAGAGCAGCCAUGGCUCUCACCGGCGGCGCCACCACCGCAGCGUGCAUCCUCGUCCUCCUCGCGCUCGCCGACGCCGCGGGGGCGGCUACCCGGGCGCCAGCGCCGGCGCCGGCGCCGGACUGCAUGGAGGCGUUGAUUAGCCUCGCAGACUGCCUCGACUAUGUGACGCCCAGCACCAAGUCGGCUCGGCCUUCCAAGGCUUGCUGCACGGAGGUGAAGACCGCCGUCGGCACCCCCGCCACCGUGAAGUGCCUCUGCGCUGCCAUGGACGCCAAGACAACUCCGAUACCGAUCAACAUGACACGGGUGCUCGCUCUCCCCACCGCCUGCGGCCAAUCCGCCUCCGUCUUGAACAAGUGCCACGCUGCACAUGGGCCGGGUGGUGCUCCUGCUGAAGCACCGUCACCUUCAGCAUCCAGUGGCGGCGCGACCGCUUCACCACCGAAGGCGAAUGUGGCGGCGAGGUCUCCGGGCGGCUCCGCCACCGUUCUCUUGGCAACUGUGGUGACUUCGCUGCUCGCCUUCUAUUACCUCUGAGGGCCAACAUCUCAGCCUCUCUCACGUGUUAUGUUGCACAGACCUUGUGACUCUGCGUUGCGCGGUGUUGUAAUCUGAGUUUACUUUGUUUAUCGGGAUGGGUUAUUAUCAUGUAGUGUCGUGGACUGAAUAUUGAGUGCGUAGUAAAUUGCAAUGUACCGUGGACUGGGUAUUUUGAAGUCGUUGCCAGUUAUGACACUUUAUUUACUUUUGAAUGCGCAGAUGACUUUGUUGACUUUGGAAUGCGCAGAUGAUCUGCUACGAUCUUCUUUUGGGUUACCAACAUGUUUUUCAUGAACUGUUUCGAAUUCAUGAACAUUUUUUGAAUUGACGAAAAUUUUCAAACUCAC